rnacentral:tRNA from 1 species
GGGGAUACAGCUCAAUAGUACAGUGCCUGCUUGGCAAGCAGGAGGUUCUGAGUUCAAUUUCCAGUACCUUCU